UGACCCCAGGUCAGGCGGGAUUACCCGCUGAGUUU
rnacentral:rRNA from 1 species